GAGGGUGCAAGCGUAAUCGGAAUACUGGGCGUAAAGCGCACGCAGGCGGUCUGUCAAGUCGGAUGUGAAAUCCCCGGGCUCAACCUGGGAACUGCAUUCGAAACUGGCAGGCUAGAGUCUUGUAGAGGGGGGUAGAAUUCCAGGUGUAGCGGUGAAAUGCGUAGAGAUCUGGAGGAAUACCGGUGGCGAAGGCGGCCCCCUGGACAAAGACUGACGCUCAGGUGCGAAAGCGUGGGGAGCAAACAGGAUUAGAUACCCUGGUAGUCCACGCCGUAAACGAUGUCGAUUUGGAGGUUGUGCCCUUGAGGCGUGGCUUCCGGAGCUAACGCGUUAAAUCGACCGCCUGGGGAGUACGGCCGCAAGGUUAAAACUCAAAUGAAUUGACGGGGGCCCGCACAAGCGGUGGAGCAUGUGGUUAAUUCGAUGCAACGCGAAGAACCUUACCUGGUCUUGACAUCCACAGAACUUUGCAGAGAUGGAUGGUGUCCUCGGGAACUGUGACGACAGGUGCGACA
rnacentral:rRNA from 1 species